rnacentral:rRNA from 1 species
UUGAACGCUGGCGGAAUGCUUUACACAUGCAAGUCGAGCGGCAGCGCGGGGGCAACCCUGGCGGCGAGCGGCGAACGGGUGAGUAAUACAUCGGAACGUACCCAGUUGUGGGGGAUAGCCCGGCGAAAGCCGGAUUAAUACCGCAUAAGUCCUGAGGGAGAAAGCGGGGGACCGUAAGGCCUCGCGCGAUCGGAGCGGCCGAUGUCAGAUUAGGUAGUUGGUGGGGUAAAGGCUCACCAAGCCGACGAUCUGUAGCUGGUCUGAGAGGACGACCAGCCACACUGGGACUGAGACACGGCCCAGACUCCUACGGGAGGCAGCAGUGGGGAAUUUUGGACAAUGGGCGAAAGCCUGAUCCAGCAAUGCCGCGUGCAGGAAGAAGGCCUUCGGGUUGUAAACUGCUUUUGUACGGAGCGAAAAGGCUCUCUCUAAUACAGGGGGCUCAUGACGGUACCGUAAGAAUAAGCACCGGCUAACUACGU